rnacentral:rRNA from 1 species
AAUGAACGUUGGCGGCGUGGAUUAGGCAUGCAGGUCGUGCGGAAAGGCUCCUUCGGGAGUACUCGAGCGGCGGAAGGGAGCGUAACGCGUGGAUCUCUACCCCCUGGACUGGGAUAGCGGCGGGAAACUGCCGGUAAUACCAGAUAAUGUCUGCGGACCAAAGGUAUGAUUCCGGCGGGGGAUGAGUUCGCGUCCUAUUAGUUAGUUGGUAGGGUGAUGGCCUACCAAGGCAAAGAUGGGUACCGGGUGUGGGAGCAUGGCCCGGCUAACUGGGACUGAGACACUGCCCAGACACCUACGGGUGGCUGCAGUCGAGAAUCUUCGGCAAUGGGCGCAAGCCUGACCGAGCGACGCCGCGUGCGGGAUGAAGGCCUUCGGGUUGUAAACCGCUGUCAGAGGGGAGGAAAUGCGUGAGAGUUCUCUCUCACGUUUGACCUAUCCUCAGAGGAAGUACGGGCUAAGUUCGUGCCAGCAGCCGCAGUAACAC